rnacentral:rRNA from 1 species
AUUGAACGCUGGCGGCAGGCCUAACACAUGCAAGUCGAGCGGAUGAGUGGAGCUUGCUCCAUGAUUCAGCGGCGGACGGGUGAGUAAUGCCUAGGAAUCUGCCUGGUAGUGGGGGACAACGUUUCGAAAGGAACGCUAAUACCGCAUACGUCCUACGGGAGAAAGCAGGGGACCUUCGGGCCUUGCGCUAUCAGAUGAGCCUAGGUCGGAUUAGCUAGUAGGUGAGGUAAAGGCUCACCUAGGCGACGAUCCGUAACUGGUCUGAGAGGAUGAUCAGUCACACUGGAACUGAGACACGGUCCAGACUCCUACGGGAGGCAGCAGUGGGGAAUAUUGGACAAUGGGCGAAAGCCUGAUCCAGCCAUGCCGCGUGUGUGAAGAAGGUCUUCGGAUUGUAAAGCACUUUAAGCUGGGAGGAAGGGCAGUAAGUUAAUACCUUGCUGUUUUGACGUUACCAACAGAAUAAGCACCGGCUAACUUCGUGCCAGCAGCCGCGGUAACAC